UAGCCAGGGUGAAGAAAGGAAUCAUCCCGGCU
rnacentral:piRNA from 1 species